GAUGAACGCUGGCGGCGUGCCUAAUACAUGCAAGUCGAGCGAACGGACGAGAAGCUUGCUUCUCUGAUGUUAGCGGCGGACGGGUGAGUAACACGUGGAUCACCUACCUAUAAGACUGGGAUAACUUCGGGAAACCGGCGCUAAUACCGGAUAAUAUUUUGAACCGCAUGGUUCAAAAGUGAAAGACGGUCUUGCUGUCACUUAUAGAUGGAUCCGCGCUGCAUUAGCUAGUUGGUAAGGUAACGGCUUACCAAGGCAACGAUGCAUAGCCGACCUGAGAGGGUGAUCGGCCACACUGGAACUGAGACACGGUCCAGACUCCUACGGGAGGCAGCAGUAGGGAAUCUUCCGCAAUGGGCGAAAGCCUGACGGAGCAACGCCGCGUGAGUGAUGAAGGUCUUCGGAUCGUAAAACUCUGUUAUUAGGGAAGAACAUAUGUGUAAGUAACUGGGCACAUCUUGACGGUACCUAAUCAGAAAGCCACGGCUAACUACGUG
rnacentral:rRNA from 1 species